rnacentral:misc_RNA from 1 species
CUCAAUCGCGCGGCGUUGAUCAUCCGAGAGCUGAAUGACUGCGCUGCGCACGAUAUUGCGGGUCUCCUGCGCAGCGGCUUCGUCGGAGGAGUCGUUCUCAACCACGCGGUCCCAAAUCCUCGCGUCCUGCUCCACCUCUUCAUGGAGACGGCGGCGACGCUGCACUCGGCGGAGGCGGUCGAUCGCCUUAUUGCGCGUCAGCGUCAUCGCCCAGGUGAGCGGCUUGCCGCGGCGAACGUCGUAGAUCGACGCCUUUUCCCAAAUCUGGACGAACGCCUCCUGCACCACCUCCUCGGCGUCCUUGGCGUUGUUCAGGACGCGGAAGGCGGUGGCGAGCAGGAUGCCGGAAUAGCGGCGGUGAAGUUCGGCCAACGACCAGUGAUCGCCGGCAGCGGUGCGGCGGAAGAGUUCGGAGUCAUC